rnacentral:rRNA from 1 species
CCUACGGGGGGCAGCAGUGAGGAAUAUUGGUCAAUGGGCUUACGCCUGAACCAGCCAAGUCGCGUGAGGGAAGACUGCCCUAUGGGUUGUAAACCUCUUUUGUCAGGGAGCAACGCCGGCUACGUGUAGCCGGACUGAGAGUACCUGAAGAAAAAGCAUCGGCUAACUCCGUGCCAGCAGCCGCGGUAAUACGGAGGAUGCGAGCGUUAUCCGGAUUGAUUGGGUUAAAAGGGUGCGUAGGCGGAAUGCCAAGUCAGCGGUAAAAUCGCGGGGCUCAACCUCGCUCCGCCGUUGAAACUGGCGUUCUUGAGUGGGCGAGAAGUAUGCGGAAUGCGUGGUGUAGCGGUGAAAUGCAUAGAUAUCACGCAGAACUCCGAUUGCGAAGGCAGCAUACCGGCGCCCAACUGACGCUGAAGCACGAAAGCGUGGGUAUCGAACAGGAUUAGAUACCCGGGUAGUC